GAUGUGGUUUCCUGGCAACAGGGGAAGCAGGAAACUGGAGUGAAAGGGCCUGGCUGGAGCGACCACGUCCUCACCUGAGACCAGCUGCCUUCCUGUCACCGUCAGGAGUCUGGCAGUGC